GUGAGAGAGAGUUGUGCUAGAAUACUAUAAGUAGUAAACGAAUUAUUUUACUAUCAAUUUAUUUUCGAUGAUAGAACUUUCAAAUUGACGAUCGGCUCCGUUGAACAUGAUUUAUACCACUUGAAGUGUUUAGAAAUCAAAUUUCAAAUCUUUUCGACAUCAUUUGCCUAAUGAUCAAAGGGUUUCAAAAUUUAUAAUUUUAAUGGUCGAUGAUUAAAGGGUUUCAAAAUUUGUAAUUUUAAUGGUCGAUAAGAGGCGUUUUCUCGUUUAAUAGCGUAAAUAUAUCCAAAUCAAUUGAAUUUUUGUUAGAAAAAUCUUUAAACUAUUUAAAACAAGAUCUAUACUCUUGAUCUUGAUUACAAGACUCCUAUCAUUAUUUUUUAAAGAGUAUUUAUUUUCAGCCAUUCAUUUUUCUGUUCACUUGAUGGAUAAAAGAACAAUAUCGAAAAUGCGUGAAAUUUGAUUUCUAGAUAGUUUAAAUGGUUUAGAUCAUAUUUAACGGAGCCGAUCGUCAAUUUGGAAGCUCUAUCAUCGAAAACAAAUCGGUAGUAAAACGGCUCGUUUACUACUGAUAGUAAGUAUUCUAGCUCAACUAUAUAUAUAUAUAUAUAUGGCCAUGUAAUUAUCGUAAAUUAUGCAUAAAUAGUAUAUAUUUUUUUAAGUAAUUGUCAGAUCGUUGGCACUAACCAUUAAUCCUAAAAACUUGAGCUGUUAGAAAUACGCAACUAAUUCACUUAAAGCGUAUAGAUACAGCGCCUACGGAUUUCGAUUGUGACUCGGCCCAUCCAGCCUCACACCACUUCGAACAUGACUCGAUCCAAUCCAGCCUCACGCCAUUUCGAACUUGACUCGGCCCACAUGGCCUUCCGUCACAUGUCGGAAUGCUGGUCCAUUUAAGCCAACAGUAAUUACUGUUGCAUGUGUGUGCAUCUUGUGUAAGAUAAAUCCAGUGCUGUAGCGCAGCGUAUUAUUUAGCAGCAGAG
rnacentral:lncRNA from 1 species